rnacentral:lncRNA from 1 species
CGUUUGUGGAGGAUGGUCUCUGCUCGUCGUCACGCUGUUAGCGCCAAGUUAAUCGGGGCCGGAAAUGAAAUGAUGAUAUUAUUCGAUGUGACAAGACCAUUGAUUAUAUUUCAUUCGUACAAAAUAGUGAAAUUUCGUUGUACGAAUAUUUUCGUUAAUUUAAUCGAACGAAGACAAAGACGAAAAGAGAAGGAGAAAGAGAAUUUGGGUUUGGGUGCGAGAUUGAAAUGGAAAUUUCGUCAACGUCGUUAUAAGCAAAAGUCAAGAUAGAGAGGAUCGUCGUAUUCGUCGUCAUCUUUCCUACUAGAGUCGUUGGAAAAUCGAUGGAUGGGAAGAGGAAGGUUGGAAGAAGAAGAAGAA